GACGAACGCUGGCGGCGUGCUUAACACAUGCAAGUCGAACGGUGACGAGGAGCUUGCUCCUCUGAUCAGUGGCGAACGGGUGAGUAACACGUGAGCAACCUGCCCCAGACUCUGGGAUAACAGUUGGAAACAGCUGCUAAUACCGGAUACGAGACGGAGAGGCAUCUCUACCGUCUGGAAAGUUUUUCGGUCUGGGAUGGACUCGCGGCCUAUCAGCUAGUUGGUGAGGUAAUGGCUCACCAAGGCGACGACGGGUAGCCGGCCUGAGAGGGCGACCGGCCACGACUGGGACUGAGACACGGCCCAGACUCCUACGGGAGGCAGCAGUGGGGAAUAUUGCACAAUGGGCGAAAGCCUGAUGCAGCGACGCCGCGUGAGGGAUGACGGCCUCGGUUGUAACGUCUUCUAGCAGGAGGAAGACGAAGUAGACGUACGUCGCGAGAGAAGACGACGGCAACUAACGUCGCGACGCAGCCGCGUAAUCACGACG
rnacentral:rRNA from 1 species